GCUACUACCGAUUGAAUGGUUUAGCGAGAUGCUCGGAUCGGGCCCAGCUCGUGCGAAAGCAUGUGCCGGGACUGAGAAGAAGUUCAAGCUUGAUCAUUUAGAGGAAGUAAAAGUCGUAACAAGGUUUUCGUAGGUGAACCUGCAGAAGGAUCCA
rnacentral:misc_RNA from 1 species